UAUAUGUGUGUGUGUGUGUGUGUGCGCACACACACACACACACACACACACACACAUAUA
rnacentral:miRNA from 1 species